rnacentral:rRNA from 1 species
CGCCUUUUGUAUAUAAUAAAUAUAAAAGGUCCUGCCUGCCCAAUGACUUGUUUUAAUGGCCGCGGUAUUGUGACCGUGCAAAGGUAGCGUAAUCAUUUGUCUUUUAAAUAAAGACCAGUAUGAACGGCAAAACGAAAGCCUUACUGUCUCCCUAGCCUAAUCAAUGAAAUUGAUCUUCCCGUGCAGAAGCGGAAAUAUAAAUAUAAGACGAGAAGACCCUGUGGAGCUUUAAACUCCAGCUAGCAACUACAAAUGCUUUAGCUUUAAGUUUUAGGUUGGGGCGACCAUGAGGUAAAAUACAACCCUCAAGAUAUAAUCAAGAAGGACACUUCAAACAACUAAUAUAACAUAUUGACCCAAUAAUUGAUCAACGAACCAAGUUACCCCCGGGAUAACAGCGCAAUCUACUCCAAGAGUCCAUAUCGACGAGCAGGUUUACCACCUCGAUGUUGGAUCAGGACCCCCAAUAACGCACAGUUAUUAAAGGUUCGUUUGUUCAACCAUUAAAGUCCU